rnacentral:lncRNA from 10 species
GGCCAUGCUGGAUAAGGAGCUGGCUGCCUCUGUGAACAUCCUACUCAAGGCAUCUUCACUGUGCUGUACAUCCUUUUGAAAUCCCAGAGAUCUUCAGUCUCCCUGUGGAUUAAGGAGAUGUGCAGUAUUUAAAGUGGCUUCAGGAAGGCAUGGAAGAGGACUGAGUGGGGAAAGCUUUUUGUGCAUGCUGCUGGCUACCUCCAGCGGCUGCCUCCAGCCUCCAUCAGCUGCACUCUGGGGAAGAGGAGGCUGCCUUCUACCUCCCAGCAUCUCUGGAUUUCAUGUUCCUGUCAGCACAGAGGAGCUAAAUGGCCUGUAGAGGCUGAAGGUCUGAGGCUCCUAAAGCUGGAAGAAAAGGCUGGGCCAGUCAGGCCAAGCAAGAACACAGUGUAACUUGUCUCUGAGUGCUUCAUGGUUAAGGGGGCUAAGCAGGCACAAGGGCAUGAGGAUGGUUAUAUGUACAGACUGAGGGGAAGAAGCAGUGAAGAUGAGACUUGCCAUCUUCUUGAGUCAGUAGGCCUGCCUCAGGUGCCUAGGAUGUAAUUGCUCUGCUGCUUCUCAUGGGGAGGAGUGGCCCUCAUGACCUUGUUUACCUGGAAGAGUGUGGGAUGAAUGCCUCCUCCUAUGGGGACUCGCAAGUGCUUUAGCAAAAGGAUAAAUUGCUAAUUGUGGCAUUUCGUGGAUCAGCAGGAUUAUUUCUCCUUGCUAAAGAGGAUUUUGUUGGUCCUGAAUUCUGAGGAGGUGGGACUAGGAAUGGGCUCCAUGAGCCUGUGUAUGACUCAGGGAAUAUUAGGACUUUGGCACAGCCUCAUGGGUUGGGAGUAAGUCUUGGCUCUUCCCUAGCCUGAAUGACAGACAUCAGAUCAUUCUGGUGCUUUGUCCAUGAAGAUGUAGAUUCUGAGCCCACCCAACUAAUCUUUUCACUUGAGCACAGAAACAGCCCCGGGAAUCGGACAGACCCGUGUCUUUCAGGUUUGCUUCACAGAGCCCCAGGGGUUGACAAUAGGUGCCUUGGAGACUGCCUGCAUGGGGAUUUUUAAAAAGCUUUCUUUGUUAAAGGUUUGUAAACCACUCCUCUGAGCCUGUUUUCAUUUUAUAGAUUAUUCAGGGAACUGAACUGCACAGAGAUCCAGAAAGUGGGUAGUGCAGGCUGUAGUGCUGAUAACUACUGUACUACUUGGAUCUUUGUGCUCCCAAAUACCAAAUGGAAGAGGAUCUCUGAGAGUCCUUUGCAAAGAUCUUGUAGGGACUUUAGGCUGGGGCCUUCGGAAAAUUCCAGAGGAUUCCAAUGGAGAUUUUGAGGGACUGACUCAGAAGAACAAAGAGAAUGAUAAUGGUGAUGUCCCUGCUUUUUACAACAGAUCAUGUUCUGAUAUAUAUGCAAAUCUGUGUAAAGUAAACCCUACCUAAAAUGUACUGGGGACCCAAGAUGGACUGCCUGUAUUGCUUCCAGGAUAAAGUCCAAUUUCUAGCUCUGGUUUUUAUAACCUUGCUUCAGCUCACCUUUUCCGUCAUCAUCCCCUCCAUCUCCUCUCCCACGCUGGGAAAUGGAUGGCUGCACUAUACUGUGUGAUGUUAUUGCUAUGUUCAUGCCAUCCCCUCUGCCUGGAAUGCCCUUCUGCAUGAAUGCCUGUGAAAUGUUGUUGCUCCUUUGUAUGGCCUGGCUUCCGUGGUUGGCAGGAAUCUCUUCUUUCGUGGUAUUCCUGUCAUCUUUGUGCAUCACAGUCAGCUUUGUAUUCCUAGCUUGUAAGCUACUUGAGGAUAGGGGCAUGUCUGAAUCUAUUUAAUCUCUUGCACCUGUUUGGCAAAUUGAUGUUUUAAGUAUUUAAAUAACUAAAGCUCUCUCUACAGUACAUACUCACUUUUGAUUUAUGAAUUGGCAAAAUUCAACUUUUUUCCUUGAAUAUUCUUAAAGUGAGAUGAAUUCCAAAGGAGAGUGUUCUGUGUGUGGCCUUCAUUGAGUGGUUUUCUGUUACCAGAAAGCUCUUGGUGGCCUUCCUCUUCCCUGGUGUCAAGGUUGACUGUUAUAGGAAAUGGGAGGGGAGAGGGCCGUUUCUGCCACGCAUUGUCCUAGGUUCUUAACAUUAUUUAAUCCUUAUAAUGCAAUGUUAUCCUCAUUUUACAGAUGAAACCUGAGACCAAAGAACAUGUAACACAUAAAGUACAUUGCAGAGUUAGGAUGUGAACCCAACUCUGAUUCUAAACCUAAUGCUCUCACUCUUUCAUUCAGAGGUUCAGUCAGUUCUUUGUAGGCUGUAGAUCCAGAGAAGCUGCCGUAGCCAACAAUGAAGUUGUUAGUUUUUAAAACAUCUAUGUGGUAAGUUGGUCUGGCACUUAAAAAUGUAUUGUUUCCCAGGCACGGUGGUUCACACCUGUAAUCCCAGCAUUUUGGGAGGCCGAGGCAGGCGGAUCAUUAGGUCAAAAGAUUGAGACCAUCCUGACCAACAUGGUGAAACCCCGUCUCUACUAAAAGUACAAAAAUUAGCUGGGUGUGGUGGCGCAUGCCUCUAGUCCCAGCUACCUGGGAGGCUGAGGCAGGAGAAUUGCUUGAACCCAGGAGGCAGAGGUUGCAGUGAGCCAAGAUCAUGCUACUGCACUACAGCCUGGCAACAAAGCGAGACUCUGUC